rnacentral:rRNA from 1 species
AUUGAACGCUGGCGGCAGGCCUAACACAUGCAAGUCGAACGGUAACAGGAAACAGCUUGCUGUUUCGCUGACGAGUGGCGGACGGGUGAGUAAUGUCUGGGAAACUGCCUGAUGGAGGGGGAUAACUACUGGAAACGGUAGCUGAUACCGCAUAACGUCGCAAGACCAAAGAGGGGGACCUUCGGGCCUCUUGCCAUCGGAUGUGCCCAGAUGGGAUUAGCUAGUAGGUGGGGUAACGGCUCACCUAGGCGACGAUCCCUAGCUGGUCUGAGAGGAUGACCAGCCACACUGGAACUGAGACACGGUCCAGACUCCUACGGGAGGCAGCAGUGGGGAAUAUUGCACAAUGGGCGCAAGCCUGAUGCAGCCAUGCCGCGUGUAUGAAGAAGGCCUUCGGGUUGUAAAGUACUUUCAGCGGGGAGGAAGGGAGUAAAGUUAAUACCUUUGCUCAUUGACGUUACCCGCAGAAGAAGCACCGGCUAACUCCGUG